GUUUACUAAGUGCAAAGAAAGCAUACUUGAAAAUCUAAGAAAAAUUGUAGCUAACUUGCAUUGAAUUAAUUCUAACAUCAUUAAAAAGUAAAUCUCAACUAUUGGAUAUGAAUUAGAAAGUUAAAAGUGCAAAAAACGAACAUUAAACUUGAACAUAGUCGAAUGUAACUAACUCUUAACUAAAACAAACUCUCAAACUUCCAAAGAAAAUGCUAUCCUAAACCUUCAUGAAAUUGAUCUAAAUAGAAU
rnacentral:lncRNA from 1 species